GAUGAAGAACGUAGCGAAAUGCGAUAAGUAGUGUGAAUUGCAGAAUUCAGUGAAUCAUCGAAUCUUUGAACGCACAUUGCGCCCCUUGGUAUUCCAUGGGGCAUGCCUGUUCGAGCGUCAUUUGUACCUUCAAGCCUUGCUUGGUGUUGGGUGUUUGUCUCGCCUCUGCGCGCAGACUCGCCUCAAAACAAUUGGCAGCCGGCGUAUUGAUUUCGGAGCGCAGUACAUCUCGCGCUUUGCACUCAGAACGACGACGUCCAAAAGUACAUUUUUACACUCUUGACCUCGGAUCAGGUAGGGAUACCCGCUGAACUUAAGCAUAUCAAUAAGCGGAAGA
rnacentral:misc_RNA from 1 species